rnacentral:rRNA from 1 species
AGGAGUGGAGCCUGCGGCUUAAUUUGACUCAACACGGGACAACUCACCAGGUCCAGACACCGGAAGGAUUGACAGAUUGAGAGCUCUUUCUUGAUUCGGUGGGUGGUGGUGCAUGGCCGUUCUUAGUUGGUGGAGUGAUUUGUCUGGUUAAUUCCGAUAACGAACGAGACUCUAGCCUGCUAAAUAGGCGUAACUUACCGGUAUCCUGAAGGCUUGUGUCUCUCGUGACCUGGCGCACUUUGGCUGUGGUGUUUCAUUGCUUAGGUAAUGUGCAUUGCACUGGGUACGUUCAGUGCGGGAGUUCACAGUUUUUACUACCGGCGUACAUAUAAAUCUUCUUAGAGGGACAGGCGGCUCCUAGCCGCACGAGAUUGAGCAAUAACAGGUCUGUGAUGCCCUUAGAUGUUCUGGGCCG